GAAUUAUGUGGCUCCUUCAUGUACUUUUUGAUUGAACAGUGAUAACUCAGAUAAUACAUUAUCCCGUGCCCCUCUCUGAGAGGAACCUGCCUUUUUUUUUUUUUUUUUUUCUUUUUUUUUUUUUUUUUUUUUUUUUUAACAGAGCAGUGAAAGAAGACUUCAUAGAGGCAUUUAAAGUGACAUCACCAUGCCAAUCCCAACUUACUACAACCGGCGAGAAGCAACUGCUAGACCAGAUUAAAUACGACGAAGGCAGGGAAAGAAUAUCUGACCCUCAGGAACUUCCAUGGUGGGAGCCAGGAACCUUCAGUUGCUGAGUAGGUAACAGACAAUAUCUCUACAGCUUCUUUGAAAAAGUGACACUUGAAGCAGUAUCUAAAUAAUGAGAAAAGGCAGACAUAUGAAGUUCUGAAGAAGAUAGGGGUGCCUGGGUGGCUCAAUGAGUUAAGCAUCUGACUCUUGAUUUCAACUCAGGUCAUGAUUUCAGGGUUGUGAGAUACGGCUCCGUGCUCAGUGGGGAGUCUGCUGGACAUCCUGCUCUGCCCCUAUCUCUUAUAUAGUAAAUAAACAAAACUUUAAAAGGAAAAGAUCUGAAGAAAACACAUUUUAGACCAAGAGAACAGCAGGAAUAAAGACUAAAUGGGGUAAACUUGGUGUUUGUGAGGGAUAUAAAAUCUCUGGAUGGCUGGAGCAUAGUAGACAGGGGAAAAGAAACAGCAGACAAGAUCCAAGUGGUAUCAGAGGCCUGCCAUGUCCGAUCUUAAAGAUUAUGGAAAGAAAUUUGCAUAGUAUUUUUAUUCCAUGAGGCAACCAUUGGAGGAUUGAAGGGUUAUAGGCAAGAAAGUGAUAUGACCCUUGUUUGUGGUAUCCACUUAAAAUUUAGAAAUAUAUACAUAUAUAUUUUUUUAUUUAGAUUGAAAAAAUUUUAUAGCAACCUUAAAGAAUUUUAGGAAAAAUAAUUAUUGAUACUCUUUUCAUUUCUGCCUAUUCUCUUCAAAUGUUGCCCAGAUGCAUAUCUAGUUUUAUAUAUCUGCUCAUUGUACCUAUAUGUUUACAUUGUAUUCUUUUUACUGAAUAUUAUAUACUACACAUUGUCCAACUCUAGGGAUAAUGCAGCAUCGCGAAUUUGUCUUCACAAACAUCCUUUAGGUUGAACAUUAGGAAGGAGAUUACAGCGUCACAAGAUAGAAAAUUUUAUUUAAAAUGCAAUACGUAUUGUCACUGAGGUUUCUGAAAGAGUUGCAUUGAUUUAUAACGCUACUGAAGUCCACAGGUAUAUUAGUUCCACCAGUUAUAUAACUGCUGAAUUUGCAGCCGUAAUAUUAUCCAGGCUGUUCUCAUUUUCAUUUCUUCGAUAACGAGUGCCACCCAAGCUCAGCGAGGCCACAGGAAAGCAGUGGGUGGGGCAGGAGGAAGAAGUGAGAGAGGAGGCAUCGUUUCUCUGGCCCAGCCUCCACCUCUAGGGUUGUGAAAUCACAGCCUGACCUACACUCUGUCCCUUCCCUGGGAUUCCUGGCGUGUCUUGCCGGUGGUAUCUCCUUUGCUGUGGUUCCCACUGGUGGUGGCUUCAGGGUCGGCUCCGUGCCUCAGUGCAUGGGUCUUCGUGCCCUCCUCCCCCUCUAGAUGGCCCAUAUGUCCUCGCCGUCUGGACGUAGGUGGCUGUUCCCUGCCUCCCUGCUUCUAGUGCUAAGUUACUGAAAUGAGGGAAUUGCCACCGUCCCCACAGCUACCAUGUUUGCUGCAAAUCUCCAUUUUCUUACAGAGAUUCAGUCAUUCACUCAUGUAACAACUAAUUAUUGAUAGUGUAUCAGUCAAAAUCUCAGCAGUAAACAGGUGGCAUCUUCAAACUGGGUAACUGAGAAGAGUUUGAUAAAAGGAGUAUUUGCAAAUAUGGGCAGGAGUUCAGGAAGCCAAGAAGGGCAAGAAAUAGAUCCUGCUGCCACCUAAAGGGUCAAGAGGAGAGAGUGGUUACAGAAAGCUUGAUGGAAAGGAGCUGUGCCUGGAGAGGGAUGAAGGCAAUCUCUAGCAAACCAGCAAGGAGGACAUCGGGGAAAUAUGUGCCCCAGUUUCAGCCUCCUCCUUCCCCCUGGCCAUAGCCUCCAUUGGUUGAAUCUGAUCAGAGGCCAUAAAGCAAAAGAGCCUCUUUAAUGGAGUCAGGAGUUGGAGGACACAGCGGCAGCAUCAUUGCUCAUGGAGAUAAAACUCCUGGG
rnacentral:lncRNA from 1 species